rnacentral:lncRNA from 1 species
AGCCCUCGACAUAAUUCUAGAAGUUAUAUUCUUUCAUCUCUAUCUUGUUCGUUCCAACCAACAACAGAGAAAUAUGAUUCCUUCAUAAGUAUGGAUUGCUCUUUGAGUUCUCAUCAUCUUUUCAUCUGUGUGUUGUAAAUUCAGGUUAGUAUUUGUAUCAAUUUUUUGCCCUAAUCUUCUUCAGAUUCUCUUCAAAUUUUCCAAUUUCAUGGCUUAAUUCAUGAUUUUUUUUCUUUAUUAUACUGUCUAUCUCUCUCUUUAAUGUUCUUCGGCGUUCAUUUCUUCCUUUGGAUCUCACUGUUAUUUGUUUUGUCAUCUGUGUGUCCUAUGUUGUUUUCUACGCUUUAUCAAUAUGAUGAAAUUAUUGAUCACCGAUUUACUGGAGAAUUUCACUGAUUAAGUGAUUUUCAGUUUGAUCAAAUAAAAAGUAAAUAAAAAUCACCAUAGAGCUUAGUUCUCAGAUGAUAAAUAUGAAUAUAUGCCUUUUACGACGGCAAAAUAUGCUACAAGGAUAAAUCAGUCCGCUAAAGGAUGGCCUCUUAUACAUGAUUUGUUUGUUCAAUGGGAUGCAUUAGCAAUUGAUAAUAGGAUCAAGGCUCUUUAGUUCUAAUGCUUCAUUGGUUUGUUUAUAUAAGACCACAUCUUACUAGAAUUGUCCAUUUGACUAAUUAUGUAGAGUUCUGAAAGACUUUUUGAUUUCUAUAAUCUUAUGUUGAUUUGCAUUGUACUCAGGAGUAUGUUUAUAUUUCUCGGCAUUAAAAGCAUUUUUUAGUACAAAUGAAUAGUAUUUCUAUUUAAAUUUAAACUUUAGUAUAAGUCUAUUAGUUUAUUGAUUUUUAUAUAAAUCUGAUGUAAAGAGCAACCUUAUGACUUGAGUUAUCUCUUGAUGGAGGAAUAUUGCUUCAGAUACAUUGCUGCGAGUUGCUUCUCUUUGUUUUUUAGUACCAUCAUGGGGACGUGGUUGACGCUGAAUAAUUUUAGCUGAAGAACUAGAAUUUUUCUUACUAAAAAUGUAGGGAAUCAACUACCAUUUGUUUUGAAGAAUGAGUAACUCUUGAUAAGGUACCACUAAUUUUACUAUACAUGUACUUUAUCAAAAAGAAAUUAAUA